rnacentral:rRNA from 1 species
AUUGAACGCUGGCGGCAGGCCUAACACAUGCAAGUCGAGCGAGCGGCGGACGGGUGAGUAAUGUAUGGGGACUGCCCGAUAGAGGGGGAUAACUACUGGAAACGGUGGCUAAUACCGCAUACUAUCGGAUAACCCAUAUGGGAUUAGCUAUUUGGUGAGGUAAUGGCUCACCAAGGAGACGAUCACUAGCUGGUUUGAGAGGAUGAUCAGCCAAACUGGGACUGAGAAACGGCCCGGACUCCUACGGAGGAAGCAGUGGGGAAUAUGGCACAAUGGGCGCAAGCCUGAUGCAGCCAUGCCGCGUGUAUGAAGAAGGCCCUAGGGUUGUAAAGUACUUUCAGUCGGGAGGCGUUACCGACAGAAGAAGCACCGGCUAACUCCGUGCCAGCAGCCGCGGUAAUUC